UGGGGAAUAUUGGACAAUGGGCGCAAGCCUGAUCCAGCCAUGCCGCGUGAGUGACGAAGGUCUUCGGAUUGUAAAGCUCUUUUAGCAGGGAAGAUAAUGACGGUACCUGCAGAAUAAGCCCCGGCUAACUUCGUGCCAGCAGCCGCGGUAAUACGAAGGGGGCUAGCGUUGUUCGGAAUUACUGGGCGUAAAGCGCACGUAGGCGGAUUGAUAAGUUAGAGGUGAAAUCCCGGGGCUCAACCUCGGAACUGCCUUCAAAACUGGCGACCUGGACUCAAGUAGAGGCAAGUGGAAUUGCGAGUGUAGAGGUGAAAUUCGUAGAUAUUCGCAGGAACACCAGUGGCGAAGGCGACUUGCUGGACUUGUAGUGACGCUGAGACGCGAAAGCGUGGGGAGCAAACAGGAUUAGAUACCCUAGUAGUCCCUGAGCGGGCUGGCAAGGCGCAU
rnacentral:rRNA from 1 species